ACAAGCGAAUAAGUGCACAUGGUGGAUGCCUUGGCGAUUACAGGCGAUGAAGGACGUAGUAGCUUGCGAUAAGCUGCGGGGAGUGAGCAAACACACUUUGAUCCGCAGAUUUCCGAAUGGGGCAACCCACCCUUUUAGGGUAUUGCAUACUGAAUACAUAGGUAUGCAAGGCGAACGCGGCGAACUGAAACAUCUAAGUAGCUGCAGGAAAAGAAAUCAACCGAGAUUCCCAAAGUAGCGGCGAGCGAAAUGGGAAGAGCCUGUACGUGAUAGUCGGACUGAUAGAAGAAUCCUCUGGAAAUAGGAACCGUAGCGGGUGAUAGUCCCGUAUUCGAAAUCAGACCGGUGAUACUAAGCGUACGACAAGUAGGGCGGGACACGUGACAUCCUGUCUGAAUAUGGGGGGACCAUCCUCCAAGGCUAAAUACUCGUAAUCGACCGAUAGUGAACCAGUACCGUGAGGGAAAGGCGAAAAGAACCCCGGAAGGGGAGUGAAAUAGAUCCUGAAACCGUGUGCAUACAAACAGUAGGAGCGGACUUGUUCCGUGACUGCGUACCUUUUGUAUAAUGGGUCAGCGACUUACAUUCAGUGGCAAGGUUAACCAUAUAGGGAAGCCGUAGAGAAAUCGAGUCCGAAUAGGGCGAUCAGUCGCUGGGUGUAGACCCGAAACCAAGUGAUCUACUCAUGGCCAGGAUGAAGGUGCGGUAACACGCCCUGGAGGUCCGAACCCACUAAUGUUGAAAAAUUAGGGGAUGAGCUGUGGGUAGGGGUGAAAGGCUAAACAAACUUGGAAAUAGCUGGUUCUCUCCGAAAACUAUUUAGGUAGUGCCUCAAGUAUCACCAUCGGGGGUAGAGCACUGUUAUGGCUAGGGGGUCAUUGCGACUUACCAAACCAUUGCAAACUCCGAAUACCGAUGAGUGUGAGCUUGGGAGACAGACGUCGGGUGCUAACGUCCGGCGUCAAGAGGGAAACAACCCAGACCGCCAGCUAAGGUCCCAAAGAUUGGCUAAGUGGAAAACGAAGUGGGAAGGCUAAAACAGUCAGGAUGUUGGCUUAGAAGCAGCCAUCAUUUAAAGAAAGCGUAAUAGCCCACUGAUCGAGUCGUCCUGCGCGGAAGAUGUAACGGGGCUAAGCCAGUCACCGAAGCUGCGGAUAUGUGCGCUCCUUUAAGCGCAUUGAUAGAGCAGAGCUGGGCGAUACUUACUUGCGAAGCAAGUUAGUAGAGACCAAAGCUCUUGCGAACAUCGAGUGUAUUUAAAGGAGCGCACAUAUGGUAGGAGAGCGUUCUGUAAGCCUGCGAAGGUGUCUUGUAAAGGAUGCUGGAGGUAUCAGAAGUGCGAAUGCUGACAUGAGUAGCGAUAAUGGGGGUGAAAAGCCUCCACGCCGUAAGCCCAAGGUUUCCUGUUCAACGUUCAUCGGAGCAGGGUGAGUCGGCCCCUAAGGCGAGGCAGAGAUGCGUAGCUGAUGGGAAGCAGGUUAAUAUUCCUGCACCGUCGUAUGAUGCGAUGGGGGGACGGAUCGCGGAAGGUUGUCCAACUGUUGGAAUAGUUGGUUUUUGGCUCAUAGAAGGCGCUUAGGCAAAUCCGGGCGCAGGAUUCAAGGGGUUGAGACGAGUGAAUUUAUUCAUGAAGCAAUCGGAAGUGGUUCCAAGAAAAGCCUCUAAGCUUCAGUCAUACGAGACCGUACCGCAAACCGACACAGGUGGGCGAGAUGAGUAUUCUAAGGCGCUUGAGAGAACUCGGGAGAAGGAACUCGGCAAAUUGGUACCGUAACUUCGGGAAAAGGUACGCCCCGGUAGCUUGAUUGGUUUACUCCAUGAGGGUGAAAGGGUUGCAAUAAACUGGUGGCUGCGACUGUUUAAUAAAAACACAGCACUCUGCAAACACGAAAGUGGACGUAUAGGGUGUGACGCCUGCCCGGUGCUGGAAGAUUAAAUGAUGGGGUGCAAGCUCUUGAUUGAAGUCCCAGUAAACGGCGGCCGUAACUAUAACGGUCCUAAGGUAGCGAAAUUCCUUGUCGGGUAAGUUCCGACCUGCACGAAUGGCGUAACGAUGGCCACACUGUCUCCUCCCG
rnacentral:rRNA from 1 species